rnacentral:rRNA from 1 species
GACGUAGGGCGCGAGCGUUGUCCGGAUUUAUUGGGCGUAAAGAGCUCGUAGGCGGCUUGUCGCGUCGUCCGUGAAAACCUGCAGCUCAACUGCAGGCUUGCGGUCGAUACGGGCAUCACUGGAGUUCGGCAGGGGAGACUGGAAUUCCGGGUGUAGUGGUGGAAUGCGUAGAGAUCCGGAGGAACACCAGUGGCGAAGGCGGCUGCCUGGGCCUGGCCUGACGCUGAGGCGCGAAAGCGUGGGGAGCGAGCCGG